rnacentral:rRNA from 1 species
UACGGGGGGGGCAAGCGUUGUUCGGAAUUACUGGGCGUAAAGGGUUUGUAGGUGGCUUGCUAAGUCAGACGUGAAAUCCCUCAGCUUAACUGGGGAACUGCGUCUGAUACUGGUGAGCUUGAGUGCAGGAGAGGAACGCGGAAUUCCAGGUGUAGCGGUGAAAUGCGUAGAUAUCAGGAGGAACACCGGCGGUGUAGACGGCUUGCUAGACCAUAACUGACGCUGAGGAGCGAAAGCGUGGGGAGCAAACAGG